rnacentral:rRNA from 1 species
GACGAGGGACCUAGCGUUGUUCGGAAUUAUUGGGCGUAAAGCGGGUGUAGGUGGCUAUGUAAGUCAAGUGUGAAAGCCUGGGGCUCAACCCCAGAAGUGCAUUUGAUACUGCGUAGCUUGAGUGCUAGAGAGGAUAGUAGAAUUGUUGGUGUAGUGGUGAAAUACGUAGAUAUCGGGAGGAACACCAGCGGCGAAGGCGGCCCCCUGGGCCGCUCCUGACGCUGAGACGCGAAGGCCAGGGUAGCGAACGGG